GGGCCCAUAGCUCAGCUGGGAGAGCGCGUCGUUCGCAAUGACGAGGUCGGCGGUUCGAUCCCGCCUGGGUCCACCA
rnacentral:tRNA from 2 species